rnacentral:rRNA from 1 species
GACGAACGCUGGCGGCGUGCUUAACACAUGCAAGUCGAACGGAAAGGCCCUGCUUUUGUGGGGUGCUCGAGUGGCGAACGGGUGAGUAACACGUGAGUAACCUGCCCUGGACUUUGGGAUAACUUCAGGAAACUGGGGCUAAUACCGGAUAGGAGCUCCUGCUGCAUGGUGGGGGUUGGAAAUUUUCGGCGGUUGGGGAUGGACUCGCGGCUUAUCAGCUUGUUGGUGGGGUAGUGGCUUACCAAGGCCUUGACGGGUAGCCGGCCUGAGAGGGUGACCGGCCACAUUGGGACUGAGAUACGGCCCAGACUCCUACGGGAGGCAGCAGUGGGGAAUAUUGCACAAUGGGCGGAAGCCUGAUGCAGCAACGCCGCGUGCGGGAUGACGGCCUUCGGGUUGUAAACCGCUUUCGCCAGUGACGAAGCGUGAGUGACGGUAAAGGGUGAAGAAGCACCGGCUAACUACGUG